CUGUCGCGAUCGAGGCCUUACUUGCCUAAGCUAAAGCUAUGUUCGAAAUCGACCUAUUACACUAAUGUUAUGCACGACUUGAAGGGACAACCACAGUGUUUUCAGUCAUAUUAUACAUUUAUUACGUGAGUACAACCGAUGUAAGUUACACGUUAAAGUGAAUACACAGGCAGUGAAUUAAUUGUAUCAAGAAGGAAAUUCAGAAAGGGGAUGCAUUGUGAAACGAAUAUCUCUGUGUAGGUCUAUGCAGUGUUGAAUAUGUUUUUCAUUUCUUUCAGCGUGUAUGUUGUUCGACAUUGCAGCGUGCUGAUGAGUUAAUAAAGAGCGUGUAUGUUGUUCGACAUUGCAGCGUGCUGAUGAGUAUCGCUCUUUCGGUUAAUAAAGAGCGUGUAUGUUGUUCGACAUUGCAGCGUGCUGAUGAGUUAAUAAAGAGCGUGUAUGUUGUUCGACAUUGCAGCGUGCUGAUGAGUUAAUAAAGAGCGUGUAUGUUGUUCGACAUUGCAGCGUGCUGAUGAGUAUCGCUCUUCGGUUAAUAAAGAGGUAAGUCAUUUUCAAGUCUGUUUAUCACAUUGAUGUCUGUCAAGCUGUAGUGCAACUCAAUUUUUGUGUUUUGUUCUCUAUAGACAGCAAAAACCUGGGAUCUGCACUAGCCCUGUCAAGUCUGGAGAGUAUUUUUACCGUUUAAUGAAUUAAAUUGUAAUAAAAGUUUUUAAAUGGACUUCUGAGUGUUGUCAUAAUUUACGUGACAUCUAAUAAUCAGUAAUAUAACUGUGUGAAAAUUUUUUUGCAUACAAGCCUUUAUAUUUCAUUAUUUUUUAAGCAUGUAACCGAUUGUAGUUAGUUAUAUGUUGUGUAUAUAUGCGUAUAUGUGAAUAUAAAAACUACCGUAAUCAAUUAUACUGCAUAGUAACUUUACAGUAUUUUAAAAUACAGUGCAAAAAGAUGAACUGUAAUUAAUUUUACAGUAUAAAUAUACUGUAAGUUAUUAUACAGUAUGUUGUGAACUACUGUAGUCAGAUUUACAGUAAUAUUACCGUGGAAUAAAAUACUGAAGCUUGCUGGCUAUUUGUUGCCAGUAAGUUACUGUUGAUUUUACGUUAAAUUUUUUACA